GUGUGGGAAGCCCUAAGUAGGGAGAAAUUUCUGUUAAAAGAAAUGAAUCCUAGAUAGUUUUCCCUUCAAGUCAAGUGUCUUGU
rnacentral:pre_miRNA from 1 species